UACGUAGGUGGCAAGCGUUGUCCGGAAUUACUGGGUGUAAAGGGCGUGUAGGCGGGACUGCAGGUCAGAUGUGAAAUACCGGGGCUCAACUCCGGGGCUGCAUUUGAAACCGCAGUUCUUGAGUAUCGGAGAGGCAGGCGGAAUUCCUAGUGUAGCGGUGAAAUGCGUAGAUAUUAGGAGGAACACCAGUGGCGAAGGCGGCUUGCUGGACGACAACUGACGCUGAGGCGCGAAAGCGUGGGGAGCAA
rnacentral:rRNA from 1 species